rnacentral:rRNA from 1 species
AUUGAACGCUGGCGGCAGGCCUAACACAUGCAAGUCGAGCGGUAGCACAGAGAGCUUGCUCUCGGGUGACGAGCGGCGGACGGGUGAGUAAUGUCUGGGAAACUGCCUGAUGGAGGGGGAUAACUACUGGAAACGGUAGCUAAUACCGCAUAACGUCGCAAGACCAAAGAGGGGGACCUUCGGGCCUCUUGCCAUCAGAUGUGCCCAGAUGGGAUUAGCUAGUAGGUGGGGUAACGGCCCACCUAGGCGACGAUCCCUAGCUGGUCUGAGAGGAUGACCGGCCAAACUGGAACUGAGACACGGUCCAGACUCCUACGGGAGGCAGCAGUGGGGAAUAUUGCACAAUGGGCGCAAGCCUGAUGCAGCCAUGCCGCGUGUAUGAAGAAGGCCUUCGGGUUGUAAAGUACUUUCAGCGAGGAGGAAGGCGUUAAGGUUAAUAACCUUGGCGAUUGACGUUACUCGCAGAAGAAGCACCGGCUAACUCCGUGCCAGCAGCCGCCGUAACAC